rnacentral:lncRNA from 1 species
AGUUCCGACCCUCCGAGUAAAGCAUAUUUUGAAAACGUGCCUUUCCAAACGGGCCGUUUUCUAGGCGCACAAGCAUUGAUCCCAAGCGGAUUGUAUUUAUCAAUUGCUUUGACACACGCUCUCCCUGCCAUAUCCAGUGAUGGCAUGCGGAUCUGAUGAUUUGAGCACAGUUUCAGCUCAAAAGGCAGUACCCUUUGCCAGAGCCACCAUCCCACGAGCAACAGUUAUUUCUAUUACACCCGAUACAUGGGGAAAAGAAAUCUAACACCAAUGAACUUGCGAUAUUUCUAUUUCGCUUACAAAAGAGAGAAUUAUUGACAUCAAGCAUGUAACAUCGCAUCGAUUCCGUUUUCCUUUCUCCUGCUCUUCCCCUCCCUAUAACUCAGCCUCUUGGCUAAUACAUGGAAAUCGUUCUCUAACAACUUCGGUUUUAUAUUCAGUCCAUUCGAUUGGGAAGAGAGCUUAUAACACAAAACACAAAAAUAUGAUUAAUAUUGUCUCAGGCAAAUCUGAAACGAUAAAUGAAUACAAGAACAAUGGUACCAUGGCCAUGAAAGGUUAAAUAGUACAAUUUCGUAUUUCAUCGGACAUAUAAAUUGUACAGACCCCUACAACAAGAAAAAUUAUACCCAGUGAUGGUAUAAAAUAUUC